rnacentral:rRNA from 1 species
UACGUAGGCAGCAAGCGUUGUUCGGAGUUACUGGGCGUAAAGAGUGCGUAGGCGGUGCCCCAAGUCUGUUGUGAAAGCCCUCGGCUUAACCGAGGAAGUGCAUUCGAUACUGUGUCGCUUGAGUACCGGAGGGGAUGGCGGAAUUCCCGGUGUAGAGGUGAAAUGCGUAGAUAUCGGAAGGAACAUCAGUGGCGAAAGCGACUUCCUGGACCAAUACUGACGCUCAUGUGCGAAAGCUUGGGGAGCAAACAGG